rnacentral:lncRNA from 1 species
UGCAUGAUUAGUUUAUGCUAUGAGAUAGUAUUAUAUUCAUGUUGUAGCACAGUAUAAUUGCUAGUGCUAAAUUAUAGAAUAUGCAAUGAGACCAAUAUAGUAGUAUGAAAACUUUGGGCUGACCCAUUCUGGAACAAUCGACUCAGUUGGUGUCUAGGAAGGAAGCCACAGGUGGUUACUUAAUUAGGACCUCACUCUUUGAGUGAGGAGUGCCUCCCACCUGCUUUUCUGGCUAAUUAUUUGAUUGUCCUUUAUGGUUGAGCCUAAUGUUAGUAAGAUACUACUAUUUGAAAGCCCUCA